GGAAAAAACGUUUAGGGAAGGGAGAGAGGCACUCGGGACGGGGGGGAUAGUAGUCGGUGAUAAGGCGUAGGGAGUUAUUAUUCGGGAUUGGGAAUAGUGGGAAUCGGUGUGAUGAGUCAGAAUUGGGGUGAUAGACCAGGUUCUUACAAAGCCGUCGCUUGAUCCGCAGUGGUCACCAGCGAACCUGUUCAUACAUAUGGAGAAGUCCAGUGCAUCAUGGGAAGUCCAACGCGUGACAGGAAGCUCCCCUCUUUUGUACCUGGACCCGGACUGGCAAGCGAGGAGCCAGAGCACGUAGACAAACAGGGCGGAUCAGGUUCCUGGCAGAGUCAUUCCUAGUUUGCCUUUUUUGUUUUCAAAUUACAUCACACUUCAGCAGACGGAUAACCCAGGAAAUGGAGAUGUCUAAGGCAGCUUCAGAGUUCAAAGGUCAGCACGUCUGUUUGAAGUCCUGCGUCUGUCAUUGCAGUUCGUCUUCAGGAAAACUCUCACGAUCUUUAUCUUCCAUUCAGAAACCAGAAAGUGUCUGCUAGCAUCUUUCUUACUUUUGUAACUUGUGUAUGAAUUGGAUCAUUAGAAAAUGUGGUGGAUUUCAAUCUGGUCCUGGAGUAUCUUCAGUUUUUACCCGUUUUUGUUAAAAACCAGCUUCUGCUGUGAAGUUUUGAUCAGUGUCCUAUACUUCGAGGCAGAGGUUCUAGGCUACAUGUAACCUGGCACUGGGCAAGUCGGGUGGAUGAUGGGACUGCGCCCGUGUGAAAUUCUGUUUGUGCUAAAGGUGUGGUUUGGGUUCAAAUCCCACUACUAUGGCUUUACCUUCACUUUUAUUAGUUAGUCCAGUACAGAUACUUGUGGUUUAGAAGAGUUUGUAUCCAAGCUGAGCUGGACUGACAUCCCUUGGAUGAUGGCCUGUGCCUCAAGCCCUGUUUUUUAGGAUUAAAAUGUCACUUCCUGUUAGAGUCAUUAGUGUACAUGACAUUGUGUCUUUUAAAAUGGAACAUGUUACUUUG